UUCAUCACCGGAAGUCACCAUUUCGUCGGUUUUCCCUUCGUGGUAGCCCUCUCUUCUUCGGCAUCGACGGAAUCGCAUCGGACGCUUCCUACCACCGCUACAAGAAGAGGGACCAUCUUCCCUUCUACGCCACCAAGGGCUUUUAAAAGAGAAAAGGGUGCCACUUAAUGAAAAUUUGAAUGGAGAUUGUCUUGUAGAUGCCCCCUAUAAGUUUGAUUUCUGAGAAGAUUUUGAUUCAGAGUUACUUUGCAAGAAGAUGCUGAUAUCAGAUGUGGCUAAGUUUCGGAAUGCUGUUUCCAAGGAUUACUGCCUCGAGAUGUUCUAUGAUAGCCUCUCCACAUGGAGAUUUGUUGUGAAAGUUGAUAAGGCAAGGAUCUGGGAACAACAAAUAUUACCUUUUCCAACUUAUUCAUUUUGAUGUAAUGUAUAAUUAGGAUCGGGUGAUUGAGAUCAGUGUUCACCAUGAAUGUACCCACAAUGCUAAGUGGAAGGAGACAAAAACAACAUUUGAAAAGAGGAUGGAAAAGUACUCGCAUCCUCUUCACAGCCUCAUCGUUUGGAGAUUCAUUGGUUCAUCAUAUACCCGUGUUUCUAUUCUCCUAUUGACUGGGUUUCUUGCAACAAUUCUAAUGCAAAUGCUGAAGAAUGAUUUUGUGAAGUGAGUACCAAGCUCCUAACUCAUAAUUGCUAUGCUUCUUUGUUCUAUAGUCUAUUCAUGAUGGUGAAUCAAUGACAAAGCAGUACCAUAACAUGUUUAAGAUAUCUGCUAGCAAACACAAUAUGUAAUACCAAGUUAUCUAAUUGAGUUAAAGUCAUUUACUCCUUAUUUUGUCUUGACUUUGUUUGCUAGAGGUGAUUCAUUAUAUCUGGUCAGUUGAGUGUCAGUGUCUAUCUAUGAACACAUGGGGGAUUUGGUUUUACGAAGAAUGACGAUACUUUAAGUUAGUUCAAUUAACCAAGUUUGGGUGUGUUUAUAUUAAUGUUUUAUGCAAAGCCUCAUAUUGAUAUCCCUGAAUAAUUCUGCUUUAUUCAAUUUUAUGUUUGGUUCAGUAGUUAAGCUGAUUAUUUCAUAGGGUGGGCAUGUUCAUCAUGUAAUAGUGCAUACUGAAUUUUUUUUUUAUUUUAGUAUACAGCAACUUGUUUUAUCAAAUAAACGUGGUAAUCUUAGGUGUCUGAUGAUCAUAGAUGCCCAUAUGAGCGGAAUACAUUGAUCCUAUAUGCUUAUCAAUACCAGGAACUACAGAACACAACCUCCACUAUUGUAGUAUCAUUUAUUAGACAAGUUAAUUUGAAAGUCGGACAUUUUUUCGUGGCUGUUGCAUAUGUUUGCUAUUAUUCAUAAAUACUCAUUUAUAUUUACUCUUGUAUUUCAUGAUGUAUAAUUUUGCAUGUACUUUAUAAGAAAUGCAGAUAAAGUUGCAUACGGUAUUUAGUAUUUCCACUUUAAACAUAAUUAAGCAUUUUUUGCUCUAAGUACUUAUAAGCUUAUCUCCGCUUUUUCAUUUUAAAGCCACCAAGAUGCUAAGAUACUCGAGUAACUUCUAGUUGCCAUUUUUUUACUGUAAAUCACAGGUGGUCAAAUCUCAUGAUCGUGUUAACUGUUAAUAGUUAUUAAGCAUUGAUUAUUUUUUUUUUCAAGUUGUUUUUUUGUUCCUUUUUACAUGAUUAGUUUGUGUAUAUGGGUGUUGUUGAGAAUUCUUUAUAUUGUUCUGAUGGUUUUGAUUUGUUCUUUUCUACUUUCCUAGGUAGGAUUAGUUACAACUGAAACCUUUCCAUUGUUUAGCGUAUUUGAGAGGCAAAAUACUAAAUCCUUAUUAUUUUUGAGAUAUCAUAGAUUGCAUUACAACUAAUUCCCAAUGGUUAUGAUAUAAAGUCUUGGGAAUUUUUUUGAUUACACUCAAAAAAUGACAAAUUGGGUAACAGUGAGAUUAUUCAAACUUCCUAACUAACCUCUUGCAUUGCUUUGGCUGAGAUAGUAAUUCCCCUAUCAUAGCAUUAUUAUGAUGGUAAGAGCCAUUGAAAUGUUAACCUAGGUUUUUAAAGGCGCCCCUGAGGCGUGCCCGAGGCGCCAAGCGCACGAGGCGUUGGGGAAACCGCCUUCACCCAUGCGAGGCGGGCGUCGUUCGUCAAGCGCGCGCCUGGGUGUGCCUAGGGCACCUUCGCACCUCAACUGAGGCGCGAUCAUGAGCGCGAUCCAUUUCUGGAUUUUUAACAAAAAAAAAACCUAUUUCAAGCCAAUUUGAUUUGGAAUUAGGGCACCAAGAAGGUGAAGAAAAGGAAAAAAGGGAAGAAGAAAAGAACCGAAACUUGAAUUUGAAGAAAAGUCGCGCCGUCACCGUCGCCAAGGUGUUUCCUUCCACUGCAGCCGCCCUCGUCGCUGAGUUGCGCGUUGCCCAGACAUGUCUGGAUUCAGGCAGACGUCCUUCCUUGGUUGUAUGGCUUGCAUUUGCUGUCGUUCUUCUGGAUGCUUGGUAUGGUUGGUUUUCAUGCAGUUUUGCUAUUUGCAUCACAUUUGUAGAUCCAUAAAACGUGAGUAGCCAAUCUGUAGUGUAUUAGUUUGGAUUAAAAAAUAGCCUUUCAAAGCUGUCUUAGUCGGUAAUAGCAGAGGCACUUGGGAUAGUGCAGACAUGUUUCUUGGAUAUAUGGUUGGAAAGUUGCUAAUCAUAAUGUAUUUGAAUGUGGAAAUUUCUCUAAA